ensembl:lncRNA
UUAAUGUUGUUUACAGUGGAGAGUUCUGGUCAGUUUGGCCAGUGAUGUCACACCAGCAGUGAAAACACCCUCUCAGGCAGCUAUAAAAGAAAGCAGCUCCAACUCUUUGGAGGAAUCCUGUACAAAGAAGCUUCAGCAGCUCCUCAUCACACGUUGAGACUUAAAGCUCCAACAUGAUCUUGCUCCUCUUCUUGUUCGGUCUGGCUCUGGGUGCUCCUUCUGAGUCUCCUUUGGCAGUGAAGUGAAGCUACAGCUUGGAAUGGAGUCCGCUGUGCAGGUCACCAAAUACUACUGACACAAGCCUGCCAUAGCAGUCACAUGUCUCUGGGUCCAGUACUAAGAGAGGAUCCUCUUGAUUGUGUGGAGUUCAUUCUGUCUUUGUUUAAUGGAGCAACUCAGGAGUUUUUACCUGUUAGAGCUCUGACCUGUCCUGUUUGAUUAAUCAUUGUGCUGAUAAAGCCUUUAUGGUACAAUAAAUAUAAAUUAUACAUCAAAAAAACAAACAACUUUUCUUUAUGUCUUUGGAAUUUGAUAUUUUUUCCUGGCUUAUGUUUAGUGUUGUGUAUAGUUGAGAGUUUUGGUCCGUUUGGCCAGUGAUGUCACACCAGCAGUGAAAACACCCUCUCAGACAGCUAUAAAAGAAAGCAGCUCCAACUCUCUGCAGGAAUCCUGUACAAAGAAGCUUCAGCAGCUCCUCAUCAUCUUUGAGACUUAAAGCUCCAACAUGAUCUUGCUCCUCUUCUUGUUUGAGUGACUCUGGG